rnacentral:rRNA from 1 species
GGCCUUUAAUUUUCGGUUAAUCUGUACGCUCAACGUACAGGCUGCCGGGAAUACUGCAAAGCUAGGGAGUGGGAGAGGUAGACGGUACUCGGUAGGAAGGGGUAAAAUCCUUUGAUCUAUUGAUGACCACCUGUGCCGAAGGCGGUCUACCAGAACACGUCCGACGGUGAGGGAUGAAAGCUGGGGGAGCAAACCGGAUUAGAUACCCGGGUAGUCCCAGCUGUAAACCAUGCAAACUCAGUGAUGCAUUGGCUUGUGGCCAAUGCAGUGCUGCAGGGAAGCCGUUAAGUUUGCCGCCUGGGAAGUACGUACGCAAGUAUGAAACUUAAAGGAAUUGGCGGGGGAGCACCACAAGGGGUGAAGCCUGCGGUUCAAUUGGAGUCAACGCCAGAAAUCUUACCCGGAGAGACAGCAGAAUGAAGGUCAAGCUGAAGACUUUACCAGACAAGCUGAGAGGUGGUGCAUGGCCGUCGCCAGCUCGUGCCGUGAGAUGUCCUGUUAAGUCAGGUAACGAGCGAGAUCCCUGCCUCUAGUUGCCACCAUUACUCUCAGGAGUAGUGGGGCGAAUUAGCGGGACCGCCGCAGUUAAUGCGGAGGAANGANNGGGCCNCGGNNGGGUCAUAUGCCCCCGAAACUCUGGGGCCACCCGCCGGCCUGCAUGGUAACGACAAUUGGUUUCCAAUCCGAGAGGGUGAGGUACCCCUCCAACGUUACCCCCGUUAUCACUGAGCGCCGCCACUCCCCCCUCCCAAUAUGGCAUCCCCUAUACCUGGGUGUCCUUAUCCCCGCGGGAAUCCCUCCCUGCUCC